ensembl:lncRNA
AUAUUAUUUGUCUUAUGGUCUCAUUUGUUAUGAGCUCUUGGUUGUCACCAACAAACAUUUACUGAGCACCUGUUGGGUGCAGGGCAUUGUGUUACAGACUGUGGAUAUAAAUUGAAAUGGGAAAUUUUCUAUGCUUUAAAGAGGCUAACAAUUGAUUUCAUGAGACAGGAAACACAUAUAAAAUAAUUAUAGUACCAUAUGGCAAACAAUGGCAAGUGGUGGAUAAAACAUAGUCAGAAAAUGACAUGGAAGUUGAGAGAAAUGUCACUUUUGUGAAGCUUUGUGGUCUUACACAACUUGCUUAAUUCUUCCUAGCUUCAGUUUUCUUACCUGCAAAGUGGGUGUGCUGUGAGAAUUAUAUCAGAAAAUACAUAUAAAUCACUUAGUGCCUGACACAGAGACCAUUGAAUAAAUGGAAAUAGUUAUUAAUAUUUUCUUCUCUUCUUUCCUUCCUCUGGUUUUUUCCCUCUUCUUACUUAUCUUUCCUGAAGUCUCAGACUAAAUAAUAGAAAGGACUCAGCCUUUAAGGAAAGUACAGAGAAGUUAGAAACUCAUGGGGAAGAAGUUUUUGACAUGGGGAAGUGAAAUCAUGUGUGCUCCCUUCUCCCCUGCCUCCAGCUCCAUCUGCUUUUUCUACGUCCUAAGUGAGGCUCUGCUCUUGAAUCCUUCACUCCUUUCUUCUCCUGGCAAUAUGGACAUGAUCCCCCUCCAAGUCUGAGGAUAACCUACACCAUAUUCCAAAGUGUGAGAUAAGUAGAAUUUCUCUUUAGGGCUCCAUUCCCCGAAAGAGCAUCUUAGAAGGGAUAUCUUUCCUUUCCUUCCCCUAAACUCAUUAAUUGUAGAAUUUUAUUCCCUAAUGCCAUGUGUCACUAAAUGGCAGAAGAAGGUCAGUACUUGGCUGGCAGGGGUGUUUGUUUGUUUUUUGGCAUGAACAGUGUUUUUUUUUUUCUCUCUCUCUCUCUCUUUUACUUUCCUUGCUUACUUGCUAUUUUUAUUUUUUCAGCUGAACCCACAUCUAAAAAAGAAUUCUUUGCAGUAUCAAGGAAAGAACAAAUAAGCAAUCAAACAUUUCAGGUGCUGCUGAUGCUUCCAAAACCCCGGAACACAUUUUGAGAACUGCUACUUCAGUGCAAGCAUAGCUACCAAGAACAAUGUGUGUAUUGGCUGAGAGGUAAGACUCUCUGAUUUAAGUUCUAGUGCUCCAACUUAUUAGCUCUGUUGAUACUGGCCACAUCCCUGACCCUUCUGUGUUUCAGUUCCCUAUCUCUAAAAGGAGGACAUUGUAGUGUUUUCUACAGAGAAUUGUUACAAGGAUUAAAUGAGAUCAUAGGUGUAAAGCACUUAGAACAAUGCCUGGCACAACACUGACUCAACCAAUAUUGAGACAAGAUUCCAUUUUCAAGUAGAAGGACAUUUCUCCUGCCCUUCAAAAUCAGUGUGUUCCUUUUUGUGUGUGUGUGUGGAUUUUCAACAGGUUCCACCAUGGGGACUUCCAUCUUCAAAAAUGUGCAAUACUGGCUUUAUUUUAGAAAAAUUCAAGCUUACAGAACACUGUAAAAAUGAAUGGGGCAAAGAUUCAUAGAUAUAGGUACCAUGAAACUGUUGAAUGCUAGCAUUUGGCCACAUUUGUACAGAGAGGGCUGUUCUCGUUUUAGAAUUCUUCAGUAUCACAUAUAAUUUAUGCCAUUACUAUACAUGUACAUGUAUGUAAAAAUGCUAUAUUGUUUUGCCAGCUUUAUAUAAAUUGUAUUGAGCUAUACACAUAUAUCCUCAACUUUGUUACUCACAAAAUGUGGUUUUUGAUUAUUCAUGCUUUUAGAUAUGAUUUAUCACAUUAUGUGAAAGUGUCAAAAUUCCUU